CGAAGGGGGCUAGCGUUGCUCGGAAUGACUGGGCGUAAAGGGCGCGUAGGCGGCACGGACAGUCAGGCGUGAAAUUCCUGGGCUUAACCUGGGGGCUGCGUUUGAUACGUCCGAGCUAGAGGAUGGAAGAGGCUCGUGGAAUUCCCAGUGUAGAGGUGAAAUUCGUAGAUAUUGGGAAGAACACCGGUGGCGAAGGCGGCGAGCUGGUCCAUUACUGACGCUGAGGCGCGAAAGCGUGGGGAGCAAACAGGAUUAGAUACCCUGGUAGUCCACGCUGUAAACGAUGUGCGCUGGAUGUUGGGGAGCUUAGCUCUUCAGUGUCGUAGCUAACGCGAUAAGCGCACCGCCUGGGGAGUACGGCCGCAAGGUUG
rnacentral:rRNA from 1 species